GACAGAGGGUGCAAACGUUGUUCGGAAUUACUGGGCGUAAAGCGCGUGUAGGCGGCCCUGCAAGUCGGGUGUGAAAUCCCACGGCUCAACCGUGGAAGUGCACUCGAAACUGCAGGGCUAGAGUCCUGGAGAGGAAGGUGGAAUGCUUGGUGUAGAGGUGAAAUUCGUAGAUAUCAAGCGGAACACCGGUGGCGAAGGCGGCCUUCUGGGCAGUGACUGACGCUGAGACGCGAAAGCGUGGGGAGCAAACAGG
rnacentral:rRNA from 1 species